rnacentral:lncRNA from 1 species
GCUUAAUUUACUGUUUUAUUAACCAUAACAUGAUUUGCAGGUUGAUUUUUUUUUGUAAGCUUUGCAGAUCUUUUGUAACAGAGUCAAGAGUGAUAAAUAGGGUACUUGUCUUCUCUUCACUUUUUUUUUCCCUUCCUAGGUUCCCUGUUGGUAUUUUUCCACUCAGUAUCAUCCAGAAAAUAUUCCAAGGACUGGUUGACAUCCUUGGACACAGAGUGGGAAGAGAAGAGGGAACUUGAGUGCAGCAUGUGACAAGGAGAGCUGGGAACCCGGAGCUGUCUGGCGGGACUCUGAUGGCAGGGAUGUAUCAUCUCUUGGUGUCCGGGUGCCCAAGACAUUUCAUUCCCACAGGACUCCAAGCAGAGGGGAAAGGGGCAGAGCCUGGUUUCACAUCUAGCUUCUGCUGUCUUUCUGCUCUGUGUCCCUGAGCCAAUGACCUGACUUUCCAGAAUUUCAGCAUCUUCAUGGUGGGAAGGAUGAUGUCAUCUUCCUUAUAGGAACCGUGGUGAGGAUUUGACAUCAAGCACAUCCAGGGGUUCAUACCAGGUUGGGGGGAGAAGAGAAUCAUUAUGGUCUUCAUCGUUACCAGGGCAUCAGAACUUACACCUCACCUGUGAGAGGGAUGCAGUCAGCAUCAGUUCCCCUCCCACACUGAGUUUCCAUUUCUUCCUUUUUAAAUCCAUAGGGUAAAUCGUGAUUUUUAGGUACUGACAACGUAGACCCUGCUGACUCCAUUCAACACCAGAAAUCCUCAAAGUAGGGGAAGGGAAGCUUAUGGGUUUCUCAAACUAGCAUAAUAACAGUGAGGAUCAAGGAGCAAGAGAAGGUGACUAGGUCCCCUGGAGGUGGGAUGGACAGGUAGAGAAACAUCAACCCAGAGGAGAUGUCCAGGCCAAAUCACUGCCAGCCAAUGGACACAAAGACAGCAUGAGAACGGCACCUUGGAUGCUUUGGUCAGCUGAAGAGGCAUAUGUAGGACUUCUUCCUCAUUGAGACUAAACAGUCAACUAAAUAGAGUCCCCACUUCUAGUCUUCUGCAAGAGGACAAUUGCCCUUUAGAGCAAUAGAAGUGAUUGUACUAAUAGGGAAGGCAAUAAAAG